rnacentral:rRNA from 1 species
UACGAAGGGUGCAAGCGUUACUCGGAAUCACUGGGCGUAAAGCGUGCGUAGGCGGUUCGUUAAGUCUGUUGUGAAAGCCCUGGGCUCAACCUGGGAACUGCAGUGGAUACUGGCGAGCUAGAGUACGGUAGAGGAAGGUGGAAUUCCCGGUGUAGCGGUGAAAUGCGUAGAGAUCGGGCGGAACACCAGCGGCGAAGGCGGCAUCCUGGUCCUGUUCUGACGCUGAGGCGCGAGAGCGUGGGGAGCGAACCGG